rnacentral:rRNA from 1 species
UACGUAGGGGGCGAGCGUUGUCCGAAGUUACUGGGCGUAAAGCGCGCGUAGGCGGGUUGGCAAGUCUGCUGUGAAAGCCCGGGGCUUAACUCCGGAGGGUCGGUGGAUACUGCCAGUCUUGAAGGUGCUAGGGAGAGAUGGAAUUACCGGUGUAGCGGUGAAAUGCGUAGAUAUCCGAAGGAACAUCAGUGGCGAAAGCGACUUCCUGGACCAGAACUGACGAUCAGGCACGAAAGCGUGGGGAGCAAACAGG